CCUGGCUUCAGCUGGAAUGACAUUCGUUCCACCAGCAGAGACAACAGCCUGCUGGUAGGAAGGGAGAAAAUGUAUCUUUCUCUCCUUUGUCCUGUAGUAUGAGGACACUCAAAACGGCCUGAAGAGUGUCCUGUGGCCAGGCUCACACUGCCUACUUCUCAGCCCUAUCUCUCCCGUGCUGUCUGUGAGAGUUCUUGAUACUGAAAUGCUGGGAAACUGCAGCAGAAGCAUAGACACGGCGCUGGGCUGAGAAUGACAGACAGAAAGAAGCUAGGUCUCCAGGUCAAACCACAGCCAGAGGCUCCGAGUGGAGGAUGCUGAAUCUGUAGAGUUUCAAAGGCCUGAGAGACUCACAGGGUUAUUCUGAGAAUCUCCCCAGUCAAUAGAAUUGUACCAUGUACGUUGUGAAGUCUGCAGCCCUUGUGGAUUCAUCUGUUUCACCACAGAUUUUUAGGUGCAAUUAAAUUAUAGAUCAGAAAGCAGAAAAUAGUGUGUUCUCUGUUCUCCCUUGUGUCUACCACUACUUGACAAUGACUCUCUUUUAUUGUUAUUAUUGGCC